CUACCGUGUCGAUUUUCUAGACUGGAGACAGGAAUCGUCGAGCGUUUAAAGAGAACAUAUCACCUGAUUUUGACACCUCCGGAUUAUUAGAAUAUGAUGGAUCAGAUUCAAAAUAUAUCCCAAAAAUCUGAUACGAUCAGAAUAAAGUAACUAAACUGAUAACAAAACAACUGAAAAAACAAAAACCAGAUACCAAACACAUGACUAAAGAAUAAAGAUACUGAAUCAAUACCUAUCUAUAAAGAGGGAAAUUUUCAGUCUGUCCUCCAAAUCUGUCUGCCAAUAUGUCCUUCUCCGGGUCGCUUGAAACCUAGUGGAAGAGAAAAAAAAAGAAUAAAAAUUUUUCUAGAGUUUCCAAUACAAAAUUUUCUGACACAUAAUAAUAUACAUCAGAGCAUGUUGAAAUUAAGGAAAGUACAGGGACCUAAGUGCAAAGCGCUAAAUUUCUGACCGCCCCUGGAAGGUGUGGGCCGUGGCUUGCCACCAUGUUUCUGUCCUCCCAAGUAAUCACGUGGAGAAAGUAAAAAUCGAAACCUAGAAUACGUGCUGGUGCUGGGUUCGCCUCCGGUCCGCCCCAUGCGAUACCUGCUCGUCUCUGCACCCAGCUGGGUGCACCGGCGGACGGCGGUCGGCCCCUUCUGGGCACGCACGCGCUGCAGCAGCGGGUGGCGGCGAGGGCGCGAGGCAGCAGGUGCUGGCGGCGCCGGCUGUCAGGGCGCGCCGGGCGACGCCCCCUGCUAGACGCGGGCAGCAACCAGGGCCAACACGCAGAGGACGAAUCGCUGAGAGGUAGCCGUCGGCAUCGAGUGGGGAUGCUGGAGGCCGGACGCAGGGUACCAAGCUGGGAUCGUGAGUGAGAGAGAGAGAGGUCGAGGGCAUCCUGCUCCUACGUGGCUGCAAGCACUGUCG
rnacentral:lncRNA from 1 species